rnacentral:rRNA from 1 species
GUCCACGCCCUAAACGAUGUCUACUAGUUGUCGGGUCUUAAUUGACUUGGUAACGCAGCUAACGCGUGAAGUAGACCGCCUGGGGAGUACGGUCGCAAGAUUAAAACUCAAAGGAAUUGACGGGGACCCGCACAAGCGGUGGAUGAUGUGGAUUAAUUCGAUGCAACGCGAAAAACCUUACCUACCCUUGACAUGUACAGAAUCCCGAAGAGAUUUGGGAGUGUUCGAAAGAAAACUGUAACACAGGUGCUGCAUGGCUGUCGUCAGCUCGUGUCGUGAGAUGUUGGGUUAAGUCCCGCAACGAGCGCAACCCUUGUCAUUAGUUGCUACGAAAGGGCACUCUAAUGAGACUGCCGGUGACAAACCGGAGGAAGGUGGGGAUGACGUCAAGUCCUCAUGGCCCUUAUGGGUAGGGCUUCACACGUCAUACAAUGGUACAUACAGAGGGCCGCCAACCCGCGAGGGGGAGCUAAUCCCAGAAAGUGUAUCGUAGUCCGGAUUGUAGUCUGCAACUCGACUACAUGAAGUUGGAAUCGCUAGUAAUCGCGGAUCAGCAUGUCGCGGUGAAUACGUUCCCGGGUCUUGUACACACCGCCCGUCACACCAUGGGAGCGGGUUUUACCAGAACGUAGGUAGCCUAACCGUAAGGA